GUGCUCGUUUCGGCAGCAUAUAUACUAAAAUUGGAACAAUGCAGAGAAGAUUAGUAUGGCCCUUGCACAUGGAUGACAUGCAUAUUUGUGAAGCGUUCCAUAUUUUU
ensembl:snRNA U6 U6 spliceosomal RNA